rnacentral:rRNA from 1 species
AUUGAACGCUGGCGGCAUGCUUUACACAUGCAAGUCGAACGGUAACAGGCCGCAAGGUGCUGACGAGUGGCGAACGGGUGAGUAAUGCAUCGGAACGUGCCCAGUCGUGGGGGAUAACGCAGCGAAAGCUGCGCUAAUACCGCAUACGAUCUAUGGAUGAAAGCGGGGGACCGUAAGGCCUCGCGCGAUUGGAGCGGCCGAUGUCAGAUUAGGUAGUUGGUGGGGUAAAGGCUCACCAAGCCAACGAUCUGUAGCUGGUCUGGGAGGACGACCAGCCACACUGGGACUGAGACACGGCCCAGACUCCUACGGGAGGCAGCAGUGGGGAAUUUUGGACAAUGGGCGCAAGCCUGAUCCAGCAAUGCCGCGUGCAGGAAGAAGGCCUUCGGGUUGUAAACUGCUUUUGUACGGAACGAAAAGGCUCUGGAUAAUACCUGGGGCUCAUGACGGUACCGUAAGAAUAAGCACCGGCUAACUACGUGCCAGCAGCCGCGGUAAAAC